rnacentral:rRNA from 1 species
GAUGAACGCUGGCGGCGUGCCUAACACAUGCAAGUCGAGCGAUUCUCUUCGGAGAAGAGCGGCGGACGGGUGAGUAACGCGUGGUUAACUUGCCUCAUAUACAUGGAUAACAUACCGAAAGGUAUGUUAAUACAAACUUAUAUAAUAGGUUCACAUUGAUUUCUUAUCAAAGCUUCGGCGGUAUGACAUGGACCCGCGUCUGAUUAGCUAGUUGGUAAGGUAACGGCUUACCAAGGCGACGAUUAGUAGCCGACAUGAGAGGGUGAUCGGCCACAUUGGAACUGAGACACGGUCCAAACUCCUACGGGAGGCAGCAGUGGGGAAUAUUGCACAAUGGGCAAAAGCCUGAUGCAGCAACGCCGCGUGAGCGAUGAAGGCCUUCGGGUCGUAAAGCUCUGUCAUCAAGGAAGAUAAUGACGGUACUUGAGGAGGAAGCCCCGGCUAACUACGUGCCAGCAGCCGCCGUAAUAC